rnacentral:rRNA from 1 species
UACGGGGGGUGCGAGCGUUGUCCGGAAUCACUGGGCGUAAAGGGCGCGUAGGUGGUCUGAUAAGGGUGUGGUGAAAGCCCGGGGCUCAACCCCGGGUCGGCCGUGCCGACUGUUGGACUAGAGUGCUGUAGGGGCAGGCGGAAUUCCGGGUGUAGCGGUGGAAUGCGUAGAGAUCCGGAGGAAGACCGGUGGCGAAGGCGGCCUGCUGGGCAGUUACUGACACUGAGGCGCGACAGCGUGGGGAGCAAACAGGA